AGGACGAACGCUGGCGGCGUGCUUAACACAUGCAAGUGGAGCGACGAACCAGGGCUUGCCCUGGGGCGGAGCCGCGAACGGGUGAGUAACACGUGGGUUACCUGCCUCGAUGACCGGGACAACCCGAGGAAACUCGGGCUAAUACCGGAUGUGCCCGCAAGGGGAAAGGAAGCUUCGGCCUCCGCAUCGAGAUGGGCCCGCGGCCCAUUAGCUUGUUGGUGAGGUAACGGCUCACCAAGGCUUCGAUGGGUAGCUGGUCUGAGAGGACGAUCAGCCACACUGGAACUGAAACACGGUCCAGACUCCUACGGGAGGCAGCAGUGGGGAAUUUUGCGCAAUGGGGGAAACCCUGACGCAGCAACGCCGCGUGGAGGAUGAAGUCCCUUGGGACGUAAACUCCUUUCGAUCGGGACGAUAAUGACGGUACCGGAAGAAGAAGCCCCGGCUAACUCGUGCCAGCAGCCGC
rnacentral:rRNA from 1 species